rnacentral:rRNA from 1 species
UACGAAGGGGGCUAGCGUUGCUCGGAAUUACUGGGCGUAAAGCGCACGUAGGCGGCUUCUUAAGUCGGAGGUGAAAUCCUGGAGCUCAACUCCAGAACUGCCUUCGAUACUGGGAAGCUCGAGUCCGGGAGAGGUGAGUGGAACUGCGAGUGUAGAGGUGAAAUUCGUAGAUAUUCGCAAGAACACCAGUGGCGAAGGCGGCUCACUGGCCCGAUACUGACGCUGAUGCACGAAAGCGUGGGGAGCAAACAGG